GACGGAGGGUGCGAGCGUUGUUCGGAUUGACUGGGCGUAAAGGGCGUGUAGGCGGUUGGUCAAGUCUGGUGUGAAAGCCCGGGGCUUAACCCCGGAAGGGCACUGGAAACUAGCCAGCUGGAGCGCGAGAGAGGAGGGUGGAAUUCCUGGUGUAGCGGUGAAAUGCGUAGAUAUCAGGAGGAACACCGGUGGCGAAGGCGGCCCUCUGGCUCGUAGCUGACGCUGAAACGCGAAAGCGUGGGGAGCAAACAGG
rnacentral:rRNA from 1 species